UUCGCCCUUUUCCGGUUGAUCCUGCCGGACCCGACUGCUAUCAGAGUGAGAUUAAGCCAUGCGAGUCAACGUAGCAAUACGUGGCAUACGGCUCAGUAACACGUAGUCAACAUAACCAAAGGACGUGGAUAAACUCGGGAAACUGAGGCUAAACCGCGAUAGAUCAAGAUACCUGGAAUGGUUUUUGAUCAAAAUCUAUAUGGCCUUUGGAUUGGACUGCGUCCGAUCAGGCUGUUGGUGAGGUAAUGGCCCACCAAACCUAUAACCGGUACGGGCUCUGAGAGGAGGAGCCCGGAGAUGGGUACUGAGAUAAGGACCCAGGCCCUAUGGGGCGCAGCAGGCGCGAAACCUCUGCAAUAGGCGAAAGCUUGACAGGGUUACUCUGAGUGACUUUCGUUAAGAAAGUCUUUUGACACCUCUAAAAAUGGUGUAGAAUAAGGGGUGGGCAAGUCUGGUGUCAGCCGCCGCGGUAAUACCAGCACCCCGAGUGGUCGGGACGAUUAUUGGGCCUAAAGCAUCCGUAGCCGGCCUUACAAGUCCUCCGUUAAAUCCAGCUGCUUAACAGAUGGGCUGCGGAGGAUACUAUAAGACUAGGAGGCAGGAGAGGCAAGCGGUACUCAGUGGGUAGGGGUAAAAUCCGUUGAUCCAUUGAAGACCACCAGUGGCGAAGGCGGCUUGCCAGAAUGCGCUCGACGGUG
rnacentral:rRNA from 1 species